rnacentral:rRNA from 1 species
UACGUAGGUGGCAAGCGUUAUCCGGAAUGACUGGGCGUAAAGGGUGCGUAGGUGGCUUGGCAAGUUGGCGGCGUAAUUCCGGGGCUCAACUCCGGCGCUACCGCCAAAACUGUCGGACUCGAGUGCAGGAGGGGUAAGUGGAAUUCCUAGUGUAGCGGUGGAAUGCGUAGAUAUUAGGAGGAACAUCGGUGGCGAAGGCGACUUACUGGACUGUAACUGACACUGAGGCACGAAAGCGUGGGGAGCAAACAGG